rnacentral:rRNA from 1 species
UACGUAGGGUGCAAGCGUUGUCCGGAAUUAUUGGGCGGAAAGAGCUCGUAGGCGGUUUGUUGCGUCGGCUGUGAAAUCCCGAGGCUCAACCUCGGGUCUGCAGUCGAUACGAGCAAACUAGAGUGUUGCAGGGGAGACUGGAAUUCCUGGUGUAGCGGUGAAAUGCGCAGACAUCAGGAGGAACACCGGUGGCGAAGGCGGGUCUCUGGGCAACAACUGACGCUGAGGAGCGAAAGCGUGGGGAGCGAACAGG